UACGGGGGGAGCAAGCGUUGUUCGGAUUUACUGGGCGUAAAGGGCGCGUAGGCGGCUUAACAAGUCACUUGUGAAAUCUCCGGGCUUAACUCGGAACGGCCAAGUGAAACUGUCAAGCUAGAGUGCGGAAGGGGCAAUCGGAAUUCUUGGUGUAGCGGUGAAAUGCGUAGAUAUCAAGAGGAACACCUGAGGUGAAGACGGGUUGCUGGGCCGACACCGACGCUGAUGCGCGAAAGCCAGGGGAGCAAACGGG
rnacentral:rRNA from 1 species